rnacentral:rRNA from 1 species
ACAUGCAAGUCGAACGGUAACAGGAAGAAGCUUGCUUCUUUGCUGACGAGUGGCGGACGGGUGAGUAAUGUCUGGGAAACUGCCUGAUGGAGGGGGAUAACUACUGGAAACGGUAGCUAAUACCGCAUAACGUCGCAAGACCAAAGAGGGGGACCUUCGGGCCUCUUGCCAUCGGAUGUGCCCAGAUGGGAUUAGCUUGUUGGUGGGGUAACGGCUCACCAAGGCGACGAUCCCUAGCUGGUCUGAGAGGAUGACCAGCCACACUGGAACUGAGACACGGUCCAGACUCCUACGGGAGGCAGCAGUGGGGAAUAUUGCACAAUGGGCGCAAGCCUGAUGCAGCCAUGCCGCGUGUAUGAAGAAGGCCUUCGGGUUGUAAAGUACUUUCAGCGGGGAGGAAGGGAGUAAAGUUAAUACCUUUGCUCAUUGACGUUACCCGCAGAAGAAGCACCGGCUAACUCCGUGCCAGCAGCCGCGGUAAUACGGAGGGUGCAAGCGUUAAUCGGAAUUACUGGGCGUAAAGCGCACGCAGGCGGUUUGUUAAGUCAGAUGUGAAAUCCCCGGGCUCAACCUGGGAACUGCAUCUGAUACUGGCAAGCUUGAGUCUCGUAGAGGGGGGUAGAAUUCCAGGUGUAGCGGUGAAAUGCGUAGAGAUCUGGAGGAAUACCGGUGGCGAAGGCGGCCCCCUGGACGAAGACUGACGCUCAGGUGCGAAAGCGUGGGGAGCAAACAGGAUUAGAUACCCUGGUAGUCCACGCCGUAAACGAUGUCGACUUGGAGGUUGUGCCCUUGAGGCGUGGCUUCCGGAGCUAACGCGUUAAGUCGACCGCCUGGGGAGUACGGCCGCAAGGUUAAAACUCAAAUGAAUUGACGGGGGCCCGCACAAGCGGUGGAGCAUGUGGUUUAAUUCGAUGCAACGCGAAGAACCUUACCUGGUCUUGACAUCCACGGAAGUUUUCAGAGAUGAGAAUGUGCCUUCGGGAACCGUGAGACAGGUGCUGCAUGGCUGUCGUCAGCUCGUGUUGUGAAAUGUUGGGUUAAGUCCCGCAACGAGCGCAACCCUUAUCCUUUGUUGCCAGCGGUCCGGCCGGGAACUCAAAGGAGACUGCCAGUGAUAAACUGGAGGAAGGUGGGGAUGACGUCAAGUCAUCAUGGCCCUUACGACCAGGGCUACACACGUGCUACAAUGGCGCAUACAAAGAGAAGCGACCUCGCGAGAGCAAGCGGACCUCAUAAAGUGCGUCGUAGUCCGGAUUGGAGUCUGCAACUCGACUCCAUGAAGUCGGAAUCGCUAGUAAUCGUGGAUCAGAAUGCCACGGUGAAUACGUUCCCGGGCCUUGUACACACCGCCCGUCACACCAUGGGAGUGGGUUGCAAAAGAAGUAGGUAGCUUAACCUUCGGGAGGGCGCUUACCACUUUGUGAUUCAUGACUGGGGUGAAGUCGUAACAAGGUAACCGUAGGGGAACCUGCGGUUGGAUCAC